UGAGGAUUGAGAUGUGGGCCGGAGCAAGGCUGACAAAAGUGUGGAUCGACACUUUUCACAGCGAGGAGGGAUGUGAGGUUUAUGGAGGCAUGAUAUUAAAGGAAACCACUUGCCUGAGGAAAUACAGGCAGCUCUGUCCUUUCCUGCACAGGGCGUCUGUGUUGGAAUUCCAGUCUCGCCUUUCAUCAAACUGCACACGAGAGGAGAUAAAAAAGAAAGAAAAAAGAACGAAGACACUGAUAUGAUGGAC